CAGUCGCCGCGGUAAUACGGAGGGGGCUAGCGUUGUUCGGAAUUACUGGGCGUAAAGCGCACGUAGGCGGUUAUUCAAGUCAGAGGUGAAAGCCCGGGGCUCAACCCCGGAACUGCCUUUGAAACUAGAUGACUAGAAUCUUGGAGAGGCGAGUGGAAUUCCGAGUGUAGAGGUGAAAUUCGUAGAUAUUCGGAAGAACACCAGUGGCGAAGGCGACUCGCUGGACAAGUAUUGACGCUGAGGUGCGAAAGCGUGGGGAGCAAACAGGAUUAGAGACCCCCGUAGUCCCUGUCUCUUAUAC
rnacentral:rRNA from 1 species